AUUGAACGCUGGCGGCAGGCCUAACACAUGCAAGUCGAACGAGUGGCGGACGGGUGAGUAAUGUCUGGGAAACUGCCUGAUGGAGGGGGAUAACUACUGGAAACGGUAGCUAAUACCGCAUACCAUCGGAUGUGCCCAGCUGGGAUUAGCUAGUAGGUGGGGUAACGGCUCACCUAGGCGACGAUCCCUAGCUGGUCUGAGAGGAUGACCAGCCACCCGGGAACUGAGACACGGUCCAGACUCCUACGGGAGGCAGCAGGGGGGAAUAUUGGAAAAUGGGGGCAAGCCGGAUGCAGCCAUGCCGCGUGUAUGAAGAAGGCCUUCGGGUUUGAAAGUACUUUCAGCGGUGAGGCGUUACCCGCAGAAGAAGCACCGGCUAACUCCGUGCCAGCAGCCGCGGUAAUAC
rnacentral:rRNA from 1 species